GUAACGAGCGCAACCCUUGUCCUUAGUUACCAGCACGUUAUGGUGGGCACUCUAAGGAGACUGCCGGUGGACAAACCGGAGGAAGGUGGGGAUGACGUCAAGUCAUCAUGGCCCUUACGGCCUGGGCUACACACGUGCUACAAUGGUCGGUACAAAGGGUUGCCAAGCCGCGAGGUGGAGCUAAUCCCAUAAAACCGAUCGUAGUCCGGAUCGCAGUCUGCAACUCGACUGCGUGAAGUCGGAAUCGCUAGUAAUCGUGAAUCAGAAUGUCACGGUGAAUACGUUCCCGGGCCUU
rnacentral:rRNA from 1 species